rnacentral:lncRNA from 1 species
GACUACGCAAUAAUCUCACUAUAAACCACAUCUCGUUAUACAAAGCUCUCAAACAGUAAGCAGCCUAGUUUCAGUACAAGAAUCAAUUACAAAAUCUACACAUUACGCAUGGAUGCCAUAAGCUGAGAGCACGAUAAAUUCCAAUCUAACGUUCCCCGCUCAACAGGAGGCGAGGUAAAUAACCCUGGCCCUACAGAAACCUCUCUCUCCAAUCUCCCGGCGUGCCGAGCAGCAUGCACAGCGACAAGAACAGCAGAACGCAUGGAUUCCCUAUACGCCAUCAUGCAUUCAUAGUUGUAGUCUCAAUUGAUGGCCUGCACAGCAGCGUGAUCGUAAGCGCCAACGCAGCCACGCCAGGCUGUGCUCCAAAAGAACUGCCUCCGUGACACCGCGCCGACGCCUUCCAAAGGAAGCUCAAGCUCUACCCCAGCCAAAACAGAGCCGUCCUCAGUCACCUCAUACAAGUAAAACAAGGCCGGCAAAGCACAACGAGCUGCAAGAGUCUCUAAAACAGGAACGACGAAGUAAACAACAGCACACAUCCUGGAGAGCAUCGCAACAAAAUGAUAAGAAAAAAAAAACACAACCACAACCCACGGAGAUAAUCCGCAGGAACAAAACAAGUGUAAAUAAACAUAGACACAUAUCACACAUAUAUGCAAUACAUAUAUUCUACAGGGAAGAAACAAACCUUGAUAGGAGCACUAAGCACAGUACAGGGCAGGAUCGAGCCAAGAUGAUAUUCUGGACCUGGUAGACCUGUUUGCAGACAAGGCCAAAAGACAACCAAAAAGAAUAUCAGGUCAACAAUCAGGUAAACGUCAUACAAAAUCUGCGAAGGAGAUUUCUGAAGAAGAAAAGAACAACGUCUAAACCCAUAAAGCAGUAGAAACAAAAUAAUACAGAAAGUAAGAACCUCAGCCAUACACAUGAGCGACGGCGAAGGUCAUCGUGAAAGCAAGCAGAUCGGGGCGGAAGAAGGCGAUGCGAGCAGAACACGCGGGAACAGUGGGUCGAAAAGGGGAAAG